GGACUACCCGGGUAUCUAAUCCCGUUUGCUCCCCUGGCUUUCGUGUUUCAGAGUCAGGAAUUUUCCAGGAGGCCGCCUACGCCACCGGUGUUCCUCAUGAUAUCUACGCAUUUCACUGCUACACCAUGAAUUCCGCCUCCCCCUCCAAUCCUCGAGCCAAGCAGUUUCGAAUGCCAUUUCGCCGUUAAGCGGCGAGCUUUCACAUCCGACUUGCCUGACCUCCUACACACCCUUUACGCCCAAUGAAUCCGAACAACGCUCGGGACCUCUGUAUUACCGCGGCUGCUGGCAC
rnacentral:rRNA from 1 species